AGGUUCUGUCUAUGACAUGUUUUCAUGGUGUGGGAAUAAGACUUGGUGGUCUAAUACAGCUAACACGUAGGUUAGCAUCACAGCUGGUCCGUAAGGAUUGAGGCUGGAAAUGGCCAUUGGAGCUGACUUUUAUGGUAACUUUUACUGUGGCUGCAUAAAAGUGAUAGUGUCGUAGAACUGUAUAAACAGUAAAGAAUGUAAUUCAGACAAUUUUUGUGUAUUUGGAAAUUUUUUUUAUAAUUUUUUACAAAAAAAAAGAAAUUGUGUAAAGAUUCUCUAUUUUCAACAGGAUUGGAAGUUGUAAGUUAACUUGUAUUUGAAAUUUUAAAAUUUCUCUUUUUUCCAUUAAAUCAUUGGCUAUAUUCAGGUAGCUCUGCUCAUGUCCAUUAUUGUCUUGACAUUUUUUCUAUCCUGCUUAUGGAUACUGAACUGGUUUUUGGUAUGUAGCUUUUUAAUGAUGAUUUUAUAGAUCAGAUCUUAUUCAUUAUUUUUCUCCAGUGUGACUAGAUUGAAUUCAUACUUUUGAAAUGAAGUGAAACAGACCAAUUUUACUUGAAGACCUGCUUUUGUUAUAUUAAUAAUGGUCUGUGUCUAGUCAAAACACUUCCAGUAUGUUAAGAAUUGAGAAUCUAAAGAAAAAAAAAAA